AGGGCCUGGCUCAGAGCCCCUCGGGUCUGGAUGGACGGACGGACGUAGGGAGGGCCUGGCUCAGAGCCCCUCGGGUCCAGACGGACAUAGGGAGGACCUGGCUCAGAGCCCCUCGGGUCCGGACGGACAGAUGGACAUAGGGAGGGCCUGGCUCAGAGCCCCUCGGAUCCAGACGGACAUAGGGAGGGCCUGGCUCAGAGCCCCUCGGAUCCAGACGGACAUAGGGAGGGCCUGGCUCAGAGCCCCUCGGGUCUGGAUGGACAUAGGGAGGGCCUGGCUCAGAGCCCCUCGGGUACGGAUGGACAUUGGGAGGGCCUGGCUCAGAGCCCCUCGGGUCUAGAUGGUCAGUUGAAUGCAGAUAUGCAGAUGAUGCAGUAAUAUAUGCCAGCCACAAGGUCAGCAAUUAGGCAGACCCAGGAUCAGGAUUAGAGUGGCAUGGGGCACAUCUGAUGAGGCACCAGAUCAGAGAAUGCAGCUCCCAGCACUGAUGAGCAAAGAGCAGGAGCACCAUGUAUACCUCUGAGGAGCCAAGACGGAUUCCUGAUGUGACCAGUGAAGAGGAGGAGGAUGGGGGUCAUGUGACUGCGGGAAGGGUCCAGAUAUGCAUGAGCCAAGUUCUGUUGGAGACUCCACUGCUGUCUAGUCUGGCCCAGCAGCCAA